rnacentral:rRNA from 1 species
GGUGGCGACCGGCGCACGGGUGAGUAACGCGUAUGCAACCUGCCUGUAACAGGGGAAUAGCCUCUUGAAAGAGAGAUUAAUGCCGCAUAAUACGAGAUUCGGGCAUCCGGAUUUAGUUAAACAUUUAUGGGUUACAGAUGGGCAUGCGUUUCAUUAGGUAGUUGGUGAGGUAACGGCUCACCAAGCCGACGAUGAAUAGGGGUUCUGAGAGGAAGGUCCCCCACACUGGUACUGAGACACGGACCAGACUCCUACGGGAGGCAGCAGUGAGGAAUAUUGGUCAAUGGACGCAAGUCUGAACCAGCCAAGUCGCGUGAAGGAUGAAGGUAUUAUGUAUUGUAAACUUCUUUUGUCAGGGAAUAAUGGGUGUCACGUGUGACGCAGAGGAAUGUACCUGACGAAUAAGCAUCGGCUAACUCCGUGCCAGCAGCCGCGGUAAUACGGAGGAUGCGAGCGUUAUCCGGAUUUAUUGGGUUUAAAGGGUGCGUAGGCGGUUUGUUAAGUCAGUGGUGAAAGUUUGCGGCUCAACCGUAAAAUUGCCAUUGAAACUGGCGAACUUGAGUACAGUAGAGGUAGGCGGAAUUCGUGGUGUAGCGGUGAAAUGCUUAGAUAUCACGAAGAACUCCGAUUGCGAAGGCAGCUUGCUGGACUGUAACUGACGCUGAGGCACGAAAGCGUGGGGAUCAAACAGGAUUAGAUACCCUGGUAGUCCACGCCGU